rnacentral:misc_RNA from 1 species
GCACGACUUCCAUUGUCCUUUGAGUAAGCUUCAUCUGUUACUUGCAGCUUACAGUUGUUCAUGUUUCAAUUGAUGUACUGUGAUUGUUCAUUUGUCUUUUCUGUAACGUUUAAGUUUUUUCACUCAUACAUGUGCCUACUCACCUGAUAUAAUCUUCAAUGAGAAAAUCAAAUGCUCUUCUCAUGAAAGAGAAGGGAAGGGAUUAGUUAACUAGGAAACCUAAAGUUACAACAAUGAAAAUGUGAUUACUAAAGAAAUUUGAGGCUUGGAAAAAUAUGCAUCAGCCAUCCCUCUUAUAAUGUACUCUACUUUAGAUUUUCUGUUCUAUCAUCUAUGCCGUUCUGAGAGCUGCAAUAAGCAACUAAAAUGAGAUAUACAUAUCUCUCCAGGGCCUUGAUAUGGGAUAUUGAUUUACAACUGCACUUCUAAUGCUUCCUUUUUCUUUUUUUUUAAUCCAUGAUUGAAUAUGCAUUCAAUUUCUCUUGCACACAACUGGAUAAGUGUCCUCACAAUGGGCUGGACUAUAAGUCUUGUGUGAUAGAUCUGUCACACAAACAAUCAAUUUUAAGAUACUGGAUCUUCAAUAAAGUAUCUACAACUUGUUAUUUUCUCCCUAGCAAGAUCUGCAUUUGGAAACUUCUGGAAUUUUUUGUUUAUUGCUCUUCCACAAGCUAUAACUCAUCUUUUCACCCCAAUUUUUCUGGCUAAAUGGCACCGGAACCGACUAAUGGAUUUCAGGUUCUUUGCAAUUUGGAAGCCAGAUUGUAUUUAUACUGUUCCACUUUGGGUUUGAACUGAUGAAGAUUGAUUAAAGUGUGA